GAUGAACGCUGGCGGCGUGCCUAAUACAUGCAAGUCGAGCGAACGGACGAGAAGCUUGCUUCUCUGAUGUUAGCGGCGGACGGGUGAGUGACACGUGGAUAACCUACCUAUAAGACUGGGAUAACUUCGGGAAACCGGAGCUAAUACCGGAUGAUAUUUUGAACCGCAUGGUUCAAAAGUGAAAGACGGUCUUGCUGUCACUUAUAGAUGGAUCCGCGCUGCAUUAGCUAGUUGGUAAGGUAACGGCUUACCAAGGCAACGAUGCAUAGCCGACCUGAGAGGGUGAUCGGCCACACUGGAACUGAGACACGGUCCAGACUCCUACGGGAGGCAGCAGUAGGGAAUCUUCCGCAAUGGGCGAAAGCCUGACGGAGCAACGCCGCGUGAGUGAUGAAGGUCUUCGGAUCGUAAAACUCUUUUAUUAGGGAAGAACAUAUGUGGAAGUAACUGUGCACAUCUUGACGGUACCUAAUCAGAAAGCCACGGCUAACUACGUG
rnacentral:rRNA from 1 species